rnacentral:rRNA from 1 species
AUGGGCGAAAGCCUGAUGCAGCAACGCCGCGUGAGGGAUGACGGCCUUCGGGUUGUAAACCUCUUUUAGCAGGGAAGAAGCGAAAGUGACGGUACCUGCAGAAAAAGCGCCGGCUAACUACGUGCCAGCAGCCGCGGUAAUACGUAGGGCGCAAGCGUUAUCCGGAAUUAUUGGGCGUAAAGAGCUCGUAGGCGGUUUGUCGCGUCUGCUGUGAAAUCCCGAGGCUCAACCUCGGGUCUGCAGUGGGUACGGGCAGACUAGAGUGCGGUAGGGGAGAUUGGAAUUCCUGGUGUAGCGGUGGAAUGCGCAGAUAUCAGGAGGAACACCGAUGGCGAAGGCAGAUCUCUGGGCCGUUACUGACGCUGAGGAGCGAAAGGGUGGGGAGCAAACAGGCUUAGAUACCCUGGUAGUCCACCCCGUAAACGUUGGGAACUAGUUGUGGGGUCCAUUCCACGGAUUCCGUGACGCAGCUAACGCAUUAAGUUCCCCGCCUGGGGAGUACGGCCGCAAGGCUAAAACUCAAAGGAAUUGACGGGGACCCGCACAAGCGGCGGAGCAUGCGGAUUAAUUCGAUGCAACGCGAAGAACCUUACCAAGGCUUGACAUAUACGAGAACGGGCCAGAAAUGGUCAACUCUUUGGACACUCGUAAACAGGUGGUGCAUGGUUGUCGUCAGCUCGUGUCGUGAGAUGUUGGGUUAAGUCCCGCAACGAGCGCAACCCUCGUUCUAUGUUGCCAGCACGUAAUGGUGGGAACUCAUGGGAUACUGCCGGGGUCAACUCGGAGGAAGGUGGGGAUGACGUCAAAUCAUCAUGCCCCUUAUGUCUUGGGCUUCACGCAUGCUACAAUGGCCGGUACAAAGGGCUGCAAUACCGCGAGGUGGAGCGAAUCCCAAAAAGCCGGUCCCAGUUCGGAUUGAGGUCUGCAACUCGACCUCAUGAAGUCGGAGUCGCUAGUAAUCGCAGAUCAGCAACGCUGCGGUGAAUACGUUCCCGGGUCUUGUACACACCGCCCGUCAAGUCAUGAAAGUCGGUAACACCUGAAGCCGGUGGCCCAACCCUUGUGGAGGGAG